rnacentral:piRNA from 1 species
CCCAUAGGGUGUGUUACUUGGAGGAUGG